UACGUAGGGGGCGAGCGUUGUCCGGAUUUAUUGGGCGUAAAGAGCUCGUAGGCGGUCUGUCGCGUCGGCUGUGAAAACCCGGAGCUCAACUCCGGGCCUGCAGUCGAUACGGGCAGACUGGAGUUCGGCAGGGGAGACUGGAAUUCCUGGUGUAGCGGUGAAAUGCGCAGAUAUCAGGAGGAACACCGGUGGCGAAGGCGGGUCUCUGGGCCGAUACUGACGCUGAGGAGCGAAAGCGUGGGGAGCGAACAGG
rnacentral:rRNA from 1 species